AAAGGAGACCUUUCAUGAUAACUUCAUUUACAUGCAGGAAAACUGAUAUGUCAAGUUAUCUAAGAAACUGAAGGGAGAGAAGCCUAAGAUAGAACUAGAACAUGUACAGCACACUCCAACUAUGAUUAGGUAACAGCAACAGACACUAAGAAGAAGAAAGCCCCACAAUUACAAAGAAGCCAUAACCAAGUUAUAGCUGCAUGGUUGGCUAGGAAUUCCGCAACAGGUCACCUGCAUCACCAGAUACAGAGUUCUGUUAUAUGGCAAGUGACUUUGAACAAACAUACUGCACAGAACACCAAGAAGCAAUAAUGGAUUGGGCAGAGAACUGCAUCAACUGAUAUGGAUGAUAAAUCGUGCUGGAAGAUUGUAUCCCUGAGUUACACGUACUUCUCCUGUGCGGCAUUCUAGAAGAAAGCAGACCUUAAAGUCCUCUGCAUCUCUCAGUGAAGCAUCCUGUAGCUCCAAGCUGACCUGGGAAUGAGUUACAGCCAGCUUGUCACCCUAGGCUGUCACCUGCAAAGAACUUGGAGCUGUUGACCUUCUUGUCAUCAGCAUGCAGAAUUGGCCUCCAUGAUCAUGCAUCCCAGACAUGGUAUCAUUGCGAACUACUGUAAUGGUAUUCUGAGACUGUCAUUCUACAGUGUGUUCCUUUGGACUUAAGACUUUCUGUUAUAUUUCAUUGAACUAGUGAUUCAGCAAGACAGACUAUUUUGAACUUUGGUUAUCACAUUAGAAGUGUUCCAUACA